rnacentral:lncRNA from 1 species
CAGGCUUAGAGGGAUCAAACGAGACUAAAAAUGGAGUUAAAAUAGAUUUAAAUUCAAAGUCGAAAGAUAAUCAAAUCUAAUACCCAAGUUGGUGGUCCACCAUGGACCACUUGGUCCACCAUGGACCACUUGGUCCAUAAGAAAGUUGAUGAGCCGUGAAAUGCUACAGUAAUUUUUACAUGGCUCACAGAGGGUUCUGGCGGGAUGUAUGGGAUUCAAAUCAAAGAUAGGAUGCCUGAGGGGUUUGUAAAACAAACAAAGCUUGGAUUCAAAUGGGCUUAAGAGGAGACUUUGGGCGAACUUUGGCACGCGAGUGUGGAGAUAGGAGUUGGACUUGGCGUGUACACGGAAGCUAACCUUGGUGGUGCGAGAGCACACGAGCGAUUCAAAUUCGGCAACAGGAGUUUGAUGGGAUGCGAGCAACGUGGGGAGGCAGCGUACACGGACCUUAGACUGGAUCUCAUUUGGGUCGCUAACCGCAAUGAAGAGAGAGAUAUUUUUAAAAUUUUAAAAUAAAACAACCACCCCUAUCUUUCCUAUUUAACCAAUUGUCUAUCCAUCCAUCCGUACUUUCCAAAUUAAAUCCUAACCAUUCAUCUAUCCUCUCUUUUUAGUCCCACAUUGAAAAAAUAUAAAAUCCUCCUCCCUGCCUACAUCUAUAAAUAAAGCCUAAUGCCUCCAUUCAUAGUAUCUCUCUCCACUC